GUGCUUGCUUCAACAGCACAUAGAGUAAAAUUGGAACAGAACAGAGAUUAGCAAGCAUGGUCGCUGCACAAAGAUGGUAUGUAAAAUAUAUGGAUUCAGUGCUCUAAAUUU
ensembl:snRNA U6 U6 spliceosomal RNA